UCCUGUUCUCUCAUACCUCUCUCUCUCUCCCCUGUUCUCUCAGACCCCUCUCUCUCCUGUUCUCUCAGACCUCUCUCUCUCUCCUGUUCUCUCAGACCUCUCUCUCUCUUCUGACAUGUAUUAUUAUCCCACGUUUUCCUCUGACAACGUUUAACCAACCCUCUGUCCAUCCUCUCUCUCUCCCUACUCUCACUCCUUCUCCCUCUCUCAGAUUGAGCAGCCGUCGAUGGAGCAGAAGGGUCAUGCCAACGUGCCGUGGAUAGUGGAACCAGGGCAGGAGGCCAAGAGAGGAGCGAACACCAAAGCAAAGCCAAUUCUCCAGCACUAGGUUUUCGUGCUGAUGUUUUGGGGGAUUUUGUUGUCCAGUACUGGCAACCCAGAGGAAUGUGGAGGGAACAUGUGUUUAUCAGUUCCAUCUAGUUGGAGAGGAUAAUGGACUGCUGAGAGAUGAUGUAGCAAAUGUUACUUUAAAAAGAAACAACAGACUCCUGUUUUUAUCAUAUAUCAGUCUUUGAUUUUUACAGCAGAUUAUUUUUUUUUAGACAUUUUGAGUGGCAAAGCGUUGUUUGUUUAUUUGAGACUAAUUGACCUUUGACACAGGGAGGAAUUGUUUUUAAACCACACGUUAUACCUGUGUCCAGAUUGAAUUUGUUUAAAAUAGGUCAUUAUUAGAUUCAUCAUUUUCUUUCUAUACUUGUUUUGUUGGGAAAUGCUGAAAAGGUUUAGCUUGUGGCUUGUGAGGUGCAUGGAGUCCAUUUUGGACUGACUAUAACGAGGGAGAGGCGGGGCCGGUGGAUAGGAGGCGGGGUUUGGGGACUCUCUGGAUAAGUGGUGUGAUCUCAUUCGCAGGGCAAUGCCGGACACCCAUGUCUAUUACUGUGGAAUGCAAAGAAUGUAGCCAGCCUUAAACAUGGACCCUCACACACACACAAUGCAAAAAGGACUACAAAUGUGAACCCUUCUGUCUCUGUGUCAAAGGACUACUAACAUGGACACUCUCUAACGAACUUGGUGUUUAAGGUUGAUUACAAAACGAGGACAUCUUCCCACAAACAUUGGACCCAUGGACUAUCUGUACACACACAUACAGACAGUUAAGGGACUGCUUCGUAACAGUCAGAUAUGUGAAUGUAGACUUUCAUUGAAGCAGCCACAACUACAACUCUAGCCCCUGUUCUGCAUUCAAUUGGACCUUGACCGUUGAACUCUAUACCACGGUCACCCGACUGUAACGGACAACUGUGUGUAUUUGAAUGGGGACGAGGUAAAGGACUUCUGGUUGGCUCUUUUCCUCUUGUUGAAGUUUUGUUUAACGGUCAAUAAUACAAUAAUGUGGAUAGAAUUGGCCGUGCCGGACCACCAUGCAACAGGUGAGCCCUGUGCCAAGUGGCAUCACAAAGGAUGGCUCCGCCUACCUGAGCAAAACACCAUCCAUCCCAAUUAAAGAAAUAUUCAGAUUAAUGCCGGACGUUUUAAAUGUUUCAUAUGAGAGUAUUAUCUUACCUUAUGAUUAUUCUUGUGCAAUUCUUGUCUUAAUGUUACAUUAUUUUUAUAUGAUAUGCUGAAAUUAAAAAAUGGGCUUGAGAAUGAUUGCCAUCCUUUAAAAAAUAGCAUAAUAGUUCUAUACGGAGAAUGUUUCAGAUGGCUCCUCUCCUUAUUAUGAAUAAUAAUAGCUAUUAUAAUUAUUGGUGUGUCCGGUCAACACACCAAUCUGUUUCUCAUGGGGCUCUAGACUCAUAACUCCAAGCAGAUGUCAUAUUUUACCACAGUAUUCCUGUAUUCUUUGGAUGAAUACAUAGUCCUCUCUAAAUGUACAUAGAUAUUUUGCCAGCUCAUUGUUCAUACAUGUAAUGAAGUAAAACAUUUACAAAAAUAAAGGAAUCAAAUAUUUGCCGCACAUCGCACUGGAGACAAGGUACCAAAAUGAAAAGGUCAGAGUUGAAAAUAAAAUCUAUGGUUCUAGAGAUUGUAUUGGGGAGGGCUGGGACAGGGUGAUGACAUCACUGCUGACUAACUCAUGUACGUAUGCUUGGGCUUCCAGCACACAUAUUUUGUACGUUUUGGUCAUUAUUUAUAUCCUUGUAAAUCACAUGGAAUAAACACAACUUGUACAACCAUUAA